UAUUUAUUUAUUUGACAGAUCACAAGUAGGCAGAGAGGCAGGCAGAAAGAGGGGGGAAGCAAGGCUCCCUGCUGAGGAGAGAGCCUGAUGCUGGGCUUGAUCCCAGGACCCUGAGAUCAUGACUUCAGCCAAAGGCAGAGGCCCAACCCACUGAGCCACCCAGGCAUCCCCAUACUGCAUUUUAAACCCUGUCUUCUCCCUACCCAGUAUUUGAGUGCCCACUAUGCACGCACAUAGCACAUGCCACACACAUGGUUCCUGGCCCUCUUGGAGCUUGGUGUUCAGCAGGGCAGAUGAGCAGUUACCACAGGGGGCAAAGAGGGCCAGGUCAGGCAUAAGCAAGGGUAUGUUCAAGCACAUCACAAUGGCCAGCUGCAUCUGACAGGUACAAGUAGAAGUCUCCUCCCCUGGGAGCCAAAGUUGAGACCUGUAGCCUGGGUGAUAGUUGUGGGGGCGAGGUGGGCCUGGGGGAAGAGGUGGUAAGCGACAGAGGGCUCACCCAACCUGCCUCUGGCCAGCUAGGAAGCGGUUCCAGGUUUCCCCCCUGCCUUCUUGAAUCAGUCUGUACCCCUUCUCCUGGCUCACAGGGUUCUUCCCAUCCUGACCUGGCCAUUAAGGUCCCAGGCACACCAAAGAACAUUCACUUCUUCCAAGUAUGCCUAUGCUGCCCUGUGAUGCUGCCCUCCAUCUAAAAGCAAUCACUAUGAGAACAUAUGUUUUUCUUUGAUUUAGCCAAAUUUUAGUAGGGCUUGUCAGGAAAAAGCAAGUCUGAGUGAUUUCAAGGUGUGGAGGGGACACUCCAGCAUCUAACUUACUCUUCUUGGCUACCAGGAGACCCAGCGACCUGCCUCACCAGCUCUGUGUGGCUAGGUUUAGACUUGGGUAAAACUCACUUUUCCUCCACACAGUACAAGCAGGGAGGGAGAGCUUUGUAUAUUUGAAAAGUCCAUCUGCGUCAUGAAUUCUCAUUCAUAUUCACUUCAAUCCAUGAAUUUUUUUUUCUGAUUGACUUCCCAGAUCUUCCCAGCUCUGUGGUCAAAGUAGGAGAGCAGAGAAUUUGAAAAGUAGCCUUUCCACCUGCUCCUCCUGGCUGUGCCCUAGAAGAUGGUCCCUCUGCCAUACUUUCUAGAAUCCACUGAGACCAAAGUUAAACCACGCCAUCCUCAGCUGCAGGGACCCUGUGCAAGAUCAUUCAUGAGACACCAGCACCGCCUCCGUGGCCUCCGUGGAUCAUUCAUGCCCACUACAUGCCUUUGGAGUGGAAAUUCCCAGCAGGUGUCACAAUAUGACCUAGAGGAACUCAUCCAUGUUCUGAUAUUAAAUCAACCUUUCAUUCCUGGGAUAAAAUCUACUUGGUCAAAUCCUUUAUGUUGAGACCAAGCUAUUCCAAAUGUGGCUCUCAGGGGAAGAUCUAGGCCAGAGGAAAUCAACUUAAGUCAUUGAAGUAAACAGCAUUGUUUAGGAUAUGUGAAUAUAAGAUCAAGAUUUAAGAGCUGCUUAGAGAUGAAAUCCGCAUCUGAGCAAAGGCCCCAGAGGUAAGGGAAAAAACGAGGGGUGUAAUGUCACAAGUCUAGUCUUUCAAAUGAAGUAUUCAGCAGUUUAAAGUAGUAGUAUGUGUCAAGACAAAGUGGAAUCUGAACUUAAAAAGUUUCAGUGGAGUGAUAAUGGCAGAAACCAAUCUCACAUGGGUUCACUGGUAAUUGGUGAGAUGCAAUGUCAAAAGACAGUAACGGUAAGGAAUUAGGUUGUUUUUUUUUUUUUAAAGAUUUUAUUUAUUUAUUUAUUUGACAGAGAGAGAUCACAAGUAGGCAGAGAGGCAGGCGGGGGGUGGAGGGGGAAGCAGGCUCCCUGCUGAGCAGAGAGCCCGAUUCGGGGCUUGAUCCCAGGACCCUGGGAUCAUGACCCGAGCAGAAAGCAGAGGCUUUAACCCACUGAGCCACCCAGGUGCCCCAAGGAAUUAGUUUUUGAAGGGGAAAAAAGCAGGGGGUUGAGGAUGAAAAGAUGUUUUUAAAAAAAAAACCCGAAACAGUUUGGUCCUAUCUAAAGAAAGGAAAGGACCCAUUUAGAGUUGAAGAUAGUGAAGGAAUGCAAUGAAGGAACACAAUGGCUGUUUAAGACUCAGGGUGGAUUACUUUAAGUUCAAGGUUUGGGUAGAGUCUGGGAGUAUUUCAGUUCUUGACAGGAUGCUGGUGCACAAGCCAGUUUGGGAGCCAGGGUAAUCACAGAGCAGACUUUGUAAGGAGUUUGGAAAGGAUGUUGUCUCUAGUACAGAUCCUGGAUUCUUUUCUUUUCUUUUGGAGUCUGAGGAAGAACUUGUAGUGGGGGCAGGUACAGACAGAUUAGGUGAUGCAGUUCAGGAAGUUUUCCAUUUUUUUCCUCUGAACUAAUUUGCUUGUAGAGUUGGAGGAAGGUGAAGAUUUCCUAAGACUGGAGGUUUCACCUUGCCUUAAAUGAUGGGUGUCUUGCUCCUGUUGAGGACCUUUGAGGAUGGGAACCACCAAUCCUGUAGUGGCGCCAGCCUGUGCCCCCAUGUGGUUUUCUGUGGCCAUGCUCAGCAGCCCAACAGUCAGAGGCAGACUGAGCGGAACUCAGCUGAGAUUUUGGGUUUGGCCGCACAGUUAUAAAAUAAUGACAGUAAAACAAAGGAGUCUAGGAUCUUGCCAAGAAAGUGGCAGAAGUAGUAAGAGGACAGAUCUAAGCUGGAUGGAGAGCUAAGUGAAGAAAGAUGACUUUUAGUGGAACUCCUAAUGAGAAUAAAAAAUUUGGUAUAUUUUGGGUUUGACUAUUUCAAACAUAAGACCUUUAUAGGACCAGCUUUUGUUCAUUUUUAUCACCAACAAUGCUACACUGUAGGGGGAUGGAGCUGUAUGUAAGAAAAUCCCUACUCUCAGAAACAUGGUUUCUCAGAAACAUUUUAUAGCAGAGUGUGUCAGUAAGAACACUCAGUAGAAUGAUUGGCACAAUCAACAGAUCAAGGUGAAAGGUACUAAAGAUGUGUGGGAAGGGACUCUAUUCAGCACAGGGUAAGAGGUGGAUUAUCAGGGAAGCAUUCAUAUAAAAACUCCCCCAAGUAGGUCUUAAAUACAGAAAGACAGCUACAAGCAGAAUAGGGACAAAAAAUUAUUGUGAGUAGACCAGUAGCACAGGCAAAGGCAGCAGAGUAUAGGAAAAGCCUGAUUAGGAGUUAAAGUUUAUGGAAAAAUAAUGUAAGAUAAGGCUAUGAAAGUAAUUAAAAAAAAUUUUUUUUUAAAGAUUUUAUUUAUUUAUUUGACAGAGAGAGAUCACAAGUAGAUGGAGAGGCAGGCAGAGAGAGAGAGAGAGAGAGAGGGAAGCAGGCUCCCUGCUGAGCAGAGAGCCCGAUGCGGGACUCGAUCCCAGGACCCUGAGAUCAUGACCUGAGCCGAAGGCAGCGGCUUAACCCACUGAGCCACCCAGGCGCCCCUGUGAAAGUAAUUUAAACUCAAAUUACAGAGAGCCUUAAAUGUGCUCAUGAAUUGGGGACUUUAUUCAGUAGGCAGUGAGAGGAGUUUGUGAACAUGACUGAGAUGUGCUGUAGGAAGACUGGCCAUCCAGAAGGAAAUCCUUAUCGCCAUCCUUAUUUAAGGCCUCACUCAACAGCUCUCAAUGGGACUGCACAAAAGAGUCAUCUUGAGUGAGUGCUUUGAAAGAUACCUGAUGGGUCUACCCACCAGAAAUAUCCACCUGGUCCCUUUCAGCUCGGGGGAGGCUCAGGCAUUUAAAAGUACUCCAGAGGAUCCUAAUCCAGGACCAGGGUUGAAAGGCAUGGUCUCUUCUGUGUAGUUUAUGUUGAUACAGUAAGGCUCAAAUCAGACAGUAAUAAAGGAAAGCAGGAUGGAUGGAUGGAUGGAUAUGUUAAAUUCUGGGGGUAAAACAAAAACAAAAACCUACCUGUAACAAGCUAAACUGACCCAGCAAAAUUAAAACUAAAAGCACACCAUUACACCAUUCCCAUCACAAAAGAAAAACAGAUAUCGAAUAUAUACAAUUUAUUUAAUAAAUUAAUGUCAUUCAAAAUACAGUGCCAGAACAUGAUGCAGUUGAACAUGCUAGUAAGGUUUGUCAUGAAGCACCUGUGCUCAUGUUAGAUUGGCGGCGCCCCGCUACUGCUAGUGGUUCCUGGGAUUAAUGCCAGAGCAGCACUAGUUACCUGCUCAUCUGCACGGCUAGUGCAGAGAAUUCCUGAACAGUUCACCUUUCUACUCCUACCCCCCCCACACACACAACAGGUUAAAAAAAAACCACACACACACCCUGACAGCUAAUGGAUAACUAUACACAGUCACUCUACAGUAAUGCUUGUUAUUAAAUUAGGAUGUAAUGACCUGGUUAACCCACUCUAAAUCUUUAAGAUGGAGAAAUACAACAGCAGCAGGUAGUUAUAUGCAUGAGCCAAUGUUAAUGUAAUACAGAAAGUGGAGGCAUUUACUGAUUAAAGCUCCACACAGACCCGCACAACGAGGGACUAGCAAUUCUUAUUGCAAGCCCAGCAACUUAAGUCCACACCUGGUAAAUGACCAGCUAAUUGGAAGACCUGUAUUCUAGAUAGACAAGUAUAAGUUAGUGAAGAGAGAAUACAUGCACCUAAUAGUAUAGUUAGACUGAUCCUGCAGUCAUAGCUUUCCCUGUGCAAUACCAUAAAAUGGAAGAUCUUCCUCAACUAUAGUAAAGGAUUUUGACAACAUUUCUAUACCAACAUGGACACUAGUGUCAAGUGCAGCUGAAUUAAUUACACUGGGAAAAAAAAAAGUAUUCUAAGACUUCAGAAAAGAAGCACGGGAAUGAAAUACAUAUACUAAAAUAACCUCGGCACAAUUUGUGAUAUACCACACUAGGAACAGGAAACUACUUUAAUAAGUGAACUUUUUGAACUGUACAUAACACAGGGCUAACAAUGUUAUUAGAUAAUCCAGAUUCUUAUGCUCUCAUGAUACAUGUAGAAGUUUCUCAAUUAUUGGAUAAUCUAUUUCAUAUUAUGGAAGCAUAUCUUUCUGUAAGACUCACGGAUAUAUAUUAUACUGAUGCAAAUAUUAAGUAGGGCAUAAAAAUAAAAUUUAUCAAAGAUAGACUUUUAUGUACUCAUAUUUAGUCCUUUCAUAGCCUCUCCUGUUUAGCAAAGAAAAUGACAAAGCACAGACAUCAGGCGUGCACUCCCUCAACUCGCUGGCUAUACAGGUGGUAGUGCAACCAUUUCUCCAUCCAAUUCAAACUCCUCAGUCCCAUCCGGUGAAAAAAGGUAAGUUGGUGGUUUCCACGGAGAUUCUUCAAGGCAGGAUGGAUACAGUUUCCCCACAGUGCACCGAAAAUCUCUCCCUAAGUCCCACAGUACACGUUCAGAUAUAUGCUGCCGCAGAGACCACCGGUCAAGUUCUAGAUCAUACUGGUAGGUGACAUACUUAGCUCUCUCGUUUAAGUGGGUUUCUCGCAUAAACACACAGAGGGAAUUUGAGAUCACAACAGCUCUAACACAGGGGUCUGAGUACCUCUUAGCAGGGAUGUUGGCUGCCAUUUUCCACUCGUUUUUGUUCACAUCAUAAAUCUCCACAGUUACUGAAGACCCAUCUACAGUGCCAGAGGGGAGCCUUAUGCCAGAAUUGGUAGCAAUGUGCAACCCUCCAAUAUAGAAAAUUUUAUCACCAAAAGCCGCAGCCGAAGCAAAAGACCUGCUAGUCUGUCUCAUGGCCAUUUCUACCCAUGAAUCAGACCUGGGAAAGUAACAGUACAUGAGGUUCAGUGUCAUCACAUAAAUGCAGUCGUGAACCACAACUGCCGCACUCCACUGCCACGCACAAGGCAGAGGGCUUACCAUUGUCCACUCAUCCUUCUCAGUAUCGUAUCUUUCCACAGUCCUCCGAUUGAGUUCUCCACCUACACUGUCUCCUCCAAUUGCAUAGAUAUAGCCUUCACAGCAAACCAGAGAUGGCUUUAUACGGACAAAAAGCAUCGGGGUCUUUGGAAACCAGGUAUUUUGCUGUGCAUCAAACCAAUAAAAGCAAUUCACAGUUCUGAAGGCAGUUUGAAGUUUGCUUGUUUUACUGUGAUUUGUUUUUGUGUUUUUCAGAGGAACUUGACCCCCUGCUAUAUAGAUGUCAUUAUCAGGAGUUACAACAGUCCCAACCUUAUGCAAAUCGGCUGGUGGGCUACACAGCUUGUAAACUUUUUCUGCUUGGGGGCUGUAACAGACAGAAGAGUAAAGACUACAAGGAUUUUCUGAAGAUGCUUCAAUGAAAAUCAUCAUCUCCUCUUUAGUCAUUCCAAGUCUUGGUUUGAAAAACUUGGGCAUAGACUUAUACAGACCUUGAACCACUACAGACUUGUCAUUGGGCGGCAGGCCUUGAAACCAAGCUCUCUGUGUUACUUCGGAAAGUGCAUCAAUUCUGAUUUGGCUAAGAACUGAAGACAAAUACUGGGAUCGUGAUUCUGUGUUGUACUCUAGCCACAGCAUAGCAGCUUCGCGAACUGUCUCCUCCUUUUCAACAUUUAAAUUGUCACUACUGAGGAUGUCUAUCAGUAGGUCAUGUGACAACUGCAUGAAAGCUUCCUGGUGAUAUACAGCAGUGAACUUGUGCUCUACCAUUCUUUUAGCACUUUGUUUUAGUUCCUCACAACUGAACAGAUCAGCAAAACUCAACAAUCGCACGCAAUUCUCUGCAUUUAUUUUUUUAAUUAAGUAUUCUCGACAACGUUGUAAUACAUCUUCUACCUAAAAUGGGGAGGUGAUAAAGACAAAUUUUACUUUUAUGUAAAAUGCAAGUUUUUUUUAAAAUCCAAGUAUUAUUAAGCAAAUUCCUAUACUAUAGUUUCUAUAUUUAGAUAUGUAUGCUUGGGCAAAGAGAUAAUGCCUUUCAGUAAUAAAAUAGUUUUGCAUUUCUACUACUUGUCCAGUGGCCUACUUAAGUGUCCUAUUUAGGAGCUAACAGUGUAACAUUAAAAAUAGGCUCUUAACAAUAAAUGGUCUUAAAGGAAAAGUAUGGAAAUGUAUGUAUAAGUUCUGUACUUUUCUAGGCUUAAAAAUAUGUAAUUUUAAAAAAUGGAAACAAUGUAAAUCACAGUACAUAAAUUUAUAAUGAUUAAUGAUAAUCAUUUAUUAUAAAUGA